UGCGAUUUCUAAUUUAAGCCUCAUUAUUCCCCCUCUCUCACUCAUUCUCUUCGCCUAAAUGUCUGAGACAGCGAUUGUUUGCAGAGUUCGCCGGCAAUUUCUUUGCACUCACACACUUUGAUCUCUCUCUGUCUAUCUCUUUGUGUGUGUCUGUCUGUCUCCCGUAUUUUGUAAUCACUGUCUGGUGUUUUGUGUUUUUGAGUAUUGCAGUUAGGCGAGGAGGAGGAAUUUGAUGCGAGAGAGAAGAUUAGGGAGUAGAUCACUGACGGUGCCGGCGUCGUUCAAGGAAGAGAAGACGGCCAGGAGGGGAGCGUCGGUGAGGCCGAGUCCAUAAAUCUACUGCAUGGCUCGGAUCCGAUGAAAAUGGAUCUCAAUCGACUCGAGAACGAAGUCAGAGGCUGGAUAUCAAGGGAGCACUUCCAAGCUUCGGGUUCCUUUUCCUAGACAAGCAGCAGAUAUAGAAAGUAAGAUGAGACCAGCAACAAUUUAUCGGGAUAAAUGGUAUUGGUUUUUACGCUAGCGAAACCUUUUCAGCAGCAGGACUUUCCAAUAGAAAUAUUGGGACUAUUGCCAAUGAUAUUGUUCAGGUUUGUUAGAAAUUCAAAGUUCUCAACAAAACUCAGUGAUUAAGGAAUAUUUUCAUGCUUGAAUUAAUGUUGUUUCAACAGGUCCCUAUUACUGUGGGUGGGGCAAUGUUGAUGGACAGAUCAGGAAGAAGACCACUUCUUAUGGUGUCAGCAACAGGAACAUUCAUUGGCUGCUUUCUAACUGGAGUUUCUUUCUAUCUAAAGACCAUCUCAUAAUAAUGUGCAAGAUCUUUACAGCCUUCUGUGUUUCUUGCAUGUUGAGCCAUGGUGCAAUUGGGCAAGGUGGAAUAAGUUAAUACAGAGACCUUAUGAGAAUGGUGAUCAGAGAGUAAUUCUUAGAUCAUUAAUGCUUAAGAGAACAAAGGAAACAAAGGACAAGGAAGGGAGGCCAAUUCUUGUCCUGCCAUCAACUGAUAUCCAAGUCAUUGAGUGUGAACAGUCGGAAGCAGAGCACAAUUUCUAUGAUGCCCUCUACAAGAAAUCUUUACCGGGGAGUGGAAAGAAAUUUUCAUCUUAAAUAAAACAGGAAAUCUCUUGCAUGAUAGCGUCACGUUGAAUGAACUACAAUGUUGUGUUAUAUUUAUUAUAUAAUGCAUAUAAUUGAUUUCUUUUAAUAUGUAGAAUUGAUUUUCUUUUAAUAUGUGAACUUGAAUAUUGUUAAACAUUAGUAUUUGGCAAUUAAA